GACGAACGCUGGCGGCGUGCCUGAUACAUGCAAGUCGAGCGAAGUUUUUCUGGUGCUUGCACUAGAAAAACUUAGCGGCGAACGGGUGAGUAACACGUAAAGAACCUGCCUCAUAGACUGGGACAACUAUUGGAAACGAUAGCUAAUACCGGAUAACAGUAUUUCUCGCAUGAGAGAUAUUUAAAAGUUGGUUAUGCUAACACUAUGAGAUGGCUUUGCGGUGCAUUAGCUAGUUGGUGGGGUAAAGGCCCACCAAGGCGACGAUGCAUAGCCGACCUGAGAGGGUGAUCGGCCACACUGGGACUGAGACACGGCCCAGACUCCUACGGGAGGCAGCAGUAGGGAAUCUUCCGCAAUGGGCGAAAGCCUGACGGAGCAACGCCGCGUGAGUGAAGAAGGAUUUCGGUUCGUAAAGCUCUGUUGUUAGGGAAGAAUGGAUAUGUAGUAACUAUACAUGUAAGAGACGGUACCUAACCAGAAAGCCACGGCUAACUACGUG
rnacentral:rRNA from 1 species